rnacentral:sRNA from 1 species
UUUUUGGCUUAUCAAGCACCUUGCCUACUUUUUUGGCAAUAGCACCAUACGUUGUUAACGUCCCAUAAGGAAUCUGUCUUAAUUCAUUCCAAACACACUGUUGAAAAUGACUACCUGUUGGCUUU